rnacentral:rRNA from 1 species
UACGUCGGGUGCAAGCGUUAAUCGGAAUUACUGGGCGUAAAGCGUGCGCAGGCGGUUCUAUAAGUCAGAUGUGAAAUCCCCGGGCUCAACCUGGGAACUGCAUUUGUGACUGUAGAGCUGGAGUGCGGCAGAGGGGGAUGGAAUUCCGCGUGUAGCAGUGAAAUGCGUAGAUAUGCGGAGGAACACCGAUGGCGAAGGCAAUCCCCUGGGCCUGCACUGACGCUCAUGCACGAAAGCGUGGGGAGCAAACAGG